AUUGGGCGUAAAGCAAGCGCAGGCGGAUGUGUAAGUUCUGUGUUAAAUGCAGCUACUCAAUAGUUGUAUGCACCGAAUACUACAUGUCUAGAUUGUGGUAGGGAGUUUCGGAAUUAAGCAUGGAGCGGUGGAAUGUGUAGAUAUGCUUAAGAACACCAGAGGCGAAGGCGGAAACUUAGGCCAUAAAUGACGCUUAGGCUUGAAAGUGUGGGGAGCAAAUGGGAUUAGAUACCCCAGUAGUCCACACCGUAAACGAUGGGUAUUAGAUAUUAGGGCUUUAGCUUUAGUGUUGUAGCUUACGCGUUAAAUACCCCGCCUGGGUAGUACAUAUGCAAAUAUGAAACUCAAAGGAAUUGACGGGGACCUGAACAAGUGGUGGAGCAUGUUGCUUAAUUCGAUAAUACACGAAAAACCUUACCAAGGUUUGACAUCCCUCGCAAAGCUAUAGAAAUAUAGUAGAGGUUAUCGAGGUGACAGGUGGUGCAUGGCUGUCGUCAGCUCGUGUCUUGAGAUGUUUGGUUAAGUCCCGCAACGAGCGCAACCCCACUCUUUAGUUACUUGUCUAAAGAGACUGCACAGUAAUGUAGAGGAAGGAUGGGAUCACGUCAAGUCAUCAUG
rnacentral:rRNA from 1 species